AGCGUAGGCGGGAUCGCAAGUCAGAUGUGAAAACUAUGGGCUUAACCCAUAAACUGCAUUUGAAACUGUGGUUCUUGAGUGAAGUAGAGGUAAGCGGAAUUCCUAGUGUAGCGGUGAAAUGCGUAGAUAUUAGGAGGAACACCAGUGGCGAAGGCGGCUUACUGGACGAUAACUGACGCUGAGGCUCGAAAGCGUGGGAGCAAACA
rnacentral:rRNA from 1 species